CCGCCGUCGCGAGUCCUCGGCUGACCUCCGGAGGGAUGCUCUGCAGUGCAGCACAGUGAGGCCCCCUGACUUCAUCGCGGGAGACUUUAGUGGGGGCGCCUCAGUAUCCCCAUAGCAUGGAGGGGGGAGGUCCCUGAACAGACAGCGUCCUGACCUUCUGCGGGAGCGCCCCGCGCUGUCCCCGUCUCUUGGUCCUUGGUCUUCUCCUAUAUUUCUUCAUCUCCCUCCCCGCAAUGCCCGACUCCCAACAGAUACUGUCAUCUCUGAUCAAAGUCACCUGCAUGAUGCCUAGUGACUCCUACUCCUACCUGCGCACCCUGCUUCACUGCCAUCACCCUACAAUCUGUGCUCAGGAGAAUAACCAUGAACAUAAUGUUUUACAACAUCAAGUUAGUUCAUGUUAUAUCUCCACCACAGCCCUCCAAGGGCUUUGCACUGCUCUCUAGUCCUCAAGUCAAAGCCAGACAAGCACAUGGAAUCCAAAGCAGUCAUGACCUCUUUUUCUGCCACUUGCCUGAGAACUUUUCACUUGGAGAUACCAACAGAUACCAGGCCAAGGUGCCAGGACAAAGACUCUGGAGGACAGGUCUAGUUGAUGUGCUUCCUGCUCCUUUUUAUUCUCUUGGAUCUCUUUCAUGUUUCAUGUCAGGACAUGAACUUCUCGGUAUUCAAACCAAUUGAAUCAACUUCUAGAGACCCACUUCUCCCAGACAGCUCAGCCAGGAAGGCACCCUUCCCUCCAGCUGCAGCCCAGGUCACCCUGGAGACCAGACAGUAAGAGAAGUGCGCACUGAACACGGUGUCCUAUCAUCUUUCCUCCAUAGCUGCUGCUUGAGCCUUAAGUGAGCAAGGGCAACGUGGCUCGAUUCCAGCUGCUACCAUUUAUUCUAACCCAAAUUACAGUUUCUACCUAGCAUGUACCACAGCAUUUUGGUCCAUGUUGGAAAAAUAGAAUACCAGGUUUAAGUCCCUCUGGCUCAGUUCCAGCCACCAGAACCACAGUCUACAACAGUCCAGUGAGGUUAACCAGGGCCACAUCCCUCUCAAUCCAGAGUCCAGUCCCCUUAGCUGGGACCUUUUUACUCAGAACUUCUGUGUUCUGAAUAACUCUUCCUGGCACUUGUCGGGGAACAUAGGAGAUGAACUCCAAGGUAGGGACCCCAUAUUUCUGUGUUCACCCAGUGUCUGGCCCAUGCUGGCACAUAGUAAGUGCUCAAUGCAGAGAGUGAAGGAAUGAGAGCUGGGCACGAUGGCACAUAUCUGUAAUCCCAGCAUCUUGGGGGGCUGAGGCAG